rnacentral:lncRNA from 10 species
GCCAGGCUGGAGUGGAGUGGCACGAUGUCAGCUCACUGCAACCUCCGCCCCCAGUUCAAGUGAUUCUCCUGCCCCAGCCUCCCGAGUAGCUGGGAUUAUAGGUGCCAACCACCACACCUGGCUAAUUUUUGUAUUUUUAGUAGAGACAGGGUUUUGCAAUAUUGGCCAGGUUGGUCUUGAACUCCUGACCUCAGGUGAUCCACCCACCUCAGGUGAUCCACCUGCCUCAGCCUUCCAAAGUGUUGAGAUUACAGGCAUGAGCUCCCACACCCAGCCUUGUUUUAACCUUCUUUUAGUCUCCGCCUUGACAUAAGGCCAGGAGUGGUGGCUUCUAGUACUCUCUCCUUUUCCCUGUCAUAGAGACUACGGAUUCCUAAAAGUGGACAGCAGUGCCCUGCUGAACCCAGUUACUGGUUACUGGCUGCCCUCCAGACAGGGGCCAGAUGAAAAAUCAAUGUGUGCCAUUGUCAGAAUAUGUUUUAAAGAAAUCUGACUUGAGGCAUAUUAAACAGUUGGACAUAAAGGGGUAGUGUCUCAUUAUGAGCCAUUAGGAAUAGGCAAGAAAAAGCAAAACAGAAACUGCUCCACCUACCAGGUAGUGCUCCUGUUCAUAGAACAAAGUGCUGCUCACCGAAUAGUACAAAGUCAUGCAACAACUGCAUCCAGUACAUAAAUGCAGAAGCUUUUUAAAUUUACACCUUGUAUAAUUUGUUAAGGUUACAUUGCUGGGCUGGGCACCAUGGCUCAUGCCUGUAAUCUCAGCACUUUGGGAGGCUGAGGUGGGUGGAUCACUUGAGUCCAAGAAUUCAAGACAGCCUGGCCAACAUGGUGAAACCAUGUCUCUACCAAAAAAAUACAAAAAUUAGCUGGGUGUGGUGGCAGGCGCCUGAGGUUGCUGUGAGCCGAGAUCGCACCACUGCACUCCAGCCUGGGCGAUUCUGUCUCAAACGAACAAACAAACAAAAAGAUUACAUUGCUGGCAUACAUUUCUUUUCUUUUUAGAGAUUGGGUCUCACGAUGUCGCCCUGGGCUGGACUCAAACUUGUGGUCUCAAAGCAGUCUUCCCACCUCAGCCUCCAAGUAGUCGGAACCAGGCCUAGCUUUGCUGGCAACUAAUGAUAGUUUGUACUUCCUAAAUCAUUAGUAAAUUUCAAUUUCUAUUUUUAAAAAUAAUUAUCCAAAAAGGAAACACAGCACAAAUUGCCUUCAGCCUUGUACAAAUAAAGAGAUAAUCAGUGAGUAGUUUAUAAAGUGGGAAUGAUAAGUUUCUGAGCUUUUUUUUAAAAAAAGGAAGUCAUUUCUGUUAAAGAAGAAUUGAUUUAGUUGGGCACUUUAAGAACUUAGUUUCUGUGCUUUAUACAGGUGACACUAACUCUGCGCGCCAUUUCAAGGGUUGUGCAUCUGGUGGUACCAGUAACAUCAAAGGGUGAUUAAUAAUCCAAUAUUAUUAAUGAAUACAUGGAUAUUGGUAUUAGAGGUCAAAUACUAUCUUUGUCUGUGAAUUUUUUUAUGUAGAGAAGGGUGAUGUAAAAUUACAAACUGAGUGGUUUUUUUUUUCAUAUGAACAUUCCCCUAUCCUCAAGAGUAGGACAAUAGUAAAUUCACAGAACAAUUGUAAAUUAACAUAGGUGCUGGCCAAUCUGAAACCAGUAUAUUAAGUGUUCAAGGGGAAUCAGGCUGGGCUCAGUGGCUCAUGCCUGUAAUCCCAGCACUUUGGGAGGCCG